CUCUUACUUUGUCUCCUGGGGGUUUGCAUUUUCUCUGCUCUUUAGCACUGAAUCACAGUAUCUUACAUUUAUAUGGUACCCAAAGGAUCCUGAAGCAUGCAGAAAUUAUAAGCCAAAUUUUGCUCUUGGAAGCAUGAGCUCAGCUCAUACCAAAGUUAAUGGGAGGUGAGCACAAACAUCUAAAGGGAAGAAUUUGCCCUUCAAGACAAACAGGAAUCGUUUCACCCACUGCUGAAACACAGCUGCCUGUGAGGCAAAACAUGGCAAAUGGUGAAAGGCUCAGCCCCACGAGGUGCUGAUCGCUAUCGGCGCUCGAAGACGGCGGCCUCGGGGCAGUCAACACCAGCAGCGGGGUGCUGGCUGCCUUGCGGGUGUCUUGGGGCUCCGUCCCAUCAGUACACAACUUUCUUGGCUUUUACGGUCAAAAACUUAAAGGGCUCUGAAAAUUAACUUUCUUUGUUACUAUUUUGAAUUGACUUGGACUUUUCAACUCAAAAUGUUUCAUUUAAGAGCUUUCUAAGGCCAACAUUUUCAGACUGGGAAGCCUGAAUAAAACCCUUUGGCUUGUGUGCAGCAGCCGUCAUGUCAGAGAGCUGUGCUUGCUGAACUUGCACAUCGGACGAGAUUUAUUUGCAUGUUUAGAAAUUCUCUUUUCUUUUUUUCUUACUGUAGAGACCUUCAGGUGAUGGAGGCCGGUGGUUAGAGGGAGAGCCGAGGUUUCCUUCGCUGGCAGGGAGCUGGGUGUCAGGUUAGGGAUGGUGGCUGGUGGCACGUCAAGCUGGCUGCCCACCUGAUGGCCCAGGCAGGUAGAGGCACAGACCAUGGGAUUAAACCCAGCGCCCAGCACACCGAGUAGCAGAGCUGAAACUCCCUUCCCAUGCUCUUGUUUUCCUUUAGCUUUGCUAGCAAAGGAUGAAUUUCAAACUGUUCUCUCUAAGUUCUUUUUUGGAUAACUCACCCCAAAGAUGCAAUCCAGAUGCAUAGCCAAGUGCCUUAAACCUCUGAACCGACUAAACCAAAUUAUAUAAAAUCUUCUGAGUUUGCAAAAUCGAGUUGGGAAUCUCAAGAAAACAGGCGUGCUUAGGGGAUUUCCAGCAUUUCCUCCUCCUUCGCAGGUUGGCAGUAUCACAGAGCAGCCUCUUCCCAUGGUGUUCUGGCACUCCUGGUCUCCAUCCCAGCCAGAAGAGUAAUUUGCAAAGGUGCCCAAAGUUAAAAAAUUAUGGGGGAGAAUGCUGUUUGGCCUGUUCAAAGCACAGAAGGCUUCUUUUAAGCAUGGGACAAAAUGAUGGCUUCUUAUCCAGACAGGUCCUGCUUUCCCCUACUCCGUGUGAUGGUUAACUGGGGUGGGAAAGCCAAGCACUGCAGGGACCUGAAAGGAAGAGCAGAAGGCUUUUUUCCUGCCUGUUUCACUAGUGGACGGACUUCAACCAAAAGCUCAGAACCAUACUGAAGGAAAAUCGUAAUAAGGCGCCAGGACCAGUUCUUACAAAGGGCCUCUCGCUCUUCAUUAGCGACACUAAAGUCCCGAGUCCAGACCUAAGUGCUGGGAGCACCUGAAAGCAGCCCCAGCCUCAGCUCAGGCUCAGCACGCAGCGAUGCUCGCUGGGACAGCUUGGCACGGUCCUAAAUGCAAGCUCGCAUUUCCAGCCAAGCUCUGACUCUCUCCUAGCCUCUUGCUUUCUUCCAACAGCCAGAAGAGGCCAGGGGCCAGGUCGCAUCAUGGGGGCUGCCCCAGGGGCACCAUCUCCUGCUGAGCUCUGCGCGGGGCUGCUGCAGCCCGUGUGCUCUCGGCUCCCCUCAGUACGGCUUAUCAGCAGAGCCUGGUAGCUGGCCUCAGGACUGCUGCCAAACCAGUGCAAAUCCACAGGAACUAUUUUAGGUUAAAUCCUACAGCUUAGAUGAAUAGGGGCGUGCAUGCACGCGCACACACACACAGUUGCUGUGGCUUGGCAGAUGCGUGGCAACUCAUUAAGCUGCAAUAACUCAAUCACCCGCUAUCAGCCCCAUCUCUAUUCUCUUAACUCCGUGGUUGGGUUUUUUCAAAGGCUCAGCGUGCUUGCAGGUCCCACUGGCAGCGCUGGGGCUUGCAGGUGCUCCAGCCCUCUGAAGAUCAAGGCACUUUUUGUGGAUGUCUAAAUAUAGCUCUGUGCCCUAAUUCGGGGUGCCCGGGUUUCAAAGCAUCACCACUCACCCCUGCAUGAGGAGUGCCCAUGUCAGGAGGCCACAGCACCCAUGGUAGAGAAGCUGAUGGGAUGAGCACAGAGAAAGGGGCUUGGAUUUGAAUUAGGCACUGCAAUGCUGGCCUGAAUACAGGGGGGAGAUGCUCGGAGGUGGGGGGUGGGGGGGAAGCCUGACCUUGGUGUGACUCCACAAGCCCUCGUGUCUAUUUAUCGUCGUCAUUCCGAGCUCUCUCUUUCAGCUUACAAAUGCAAUGAACCAGCUUCCCUGAGAUCAUGUUUUAAAUAUACUGCCCUGGGGCUACACUUUAAAAUUCAAAACAUUGGAGGACACAUGGGGAGGGCGUUCCGCAUCAUUUUUGACACAGAGAAAUUCUCCUUGACAGCCCCAAAGGUGAGCACCAGCAAGCCCUGAGCCACACGCACAGUGCAGCACAACGCUGGAGCACAAAAAUGCAAUUUUCUCAUACCGACUUCUCUUCCACCCCAUUUGCCCUCAAAUCUGAAUCAUGUUGCUGAAAGAGUUAGAUGUGGAUAAGCCUUAUAAAGGAGUGGAGGUGAGAGGAGAAGUGAUGGUGCUGAGGGUCAGGCAGGCACAAGACAAGCAAGGGAAGAGCUCUGGUGAUGGAUGCACCUACCAUUAGCUCCAGCAAGAUUCAGAGGGCUAUGGGGUGAUGGUCUGAGCCUUGCCACUGCAGCAAUGUGCCUCCUUUCCUAAGGCAAACUGGCACGGGGAACAUGGUGACUUCAGAGCUCAGCCCAAGCUCUGCAUUGCCACCAGCAGCCACCCCGACAGAUGGAGCAUGUACCUUUAAGUGCUGCUCACUUGCCCCCUAAAAGGGAGACAAAAAUAUAUUAAAAAAAAAAAAAAUAGCCGUUAGGAGUUAUAUUACCUGCAACAGCUGAAUUUAAUUAGUAGCGCAAUCACAACAAAUAUUUAAAAGGUCUAAGAAGCCACAAAGGGAAAUUUGCUUUCCUGUACCUCAUGUGCGCCGUGCUCAGCAGCGCUCUGCCAUCAGUGACUCAGUUUGAGGAAACUUCACACAACUUUGGGGUUUUGUGACCAUGGAGGAGGUAGAGGUUUGGGUACAAAGGAUAAUUUCCUUGCCCUGUUGCUGUGCUCUUCCCAGCCACUAGCCCAGUGCUAGGUGGCUCUGUGUGCUUUGCACCCUGUGCUCCCUAACAUCUGCCUCCAAACAGGAGGAUUUUUUUUCUCCAGUAAGAUGAAACCUGAAAAACAGCAACAGCAAGCAGCAGGCUGCAGCACUGGCCAUGAGCCUGGGGCACCCACAGCACUGUGUAAGUGGUGUGGGAGGUUUUGAUGCCCUGAAUCCCAGCAGCCCAAGCCCAGCUGUGUCAUUGGGCUCUACCCCUUCAUGUGAGCUGGCUCUCAGGUCCCACUGAGGCCACACCAUCGCCUUUCCAUGCAUCAUUCUCCUUUGCAUAGGGCCAACGACCGGUUUGGAGGUACUGUGUGGGUGUCAAGGCCAGGCCUGGCUUGGUUCCUGCAUUCAUGGGCACCUUCUCUGAGGAGCCACAGGGCACCUUCAGCUAAUCACACCCUAAACACACCCAGGUGUCGCUGUGCGGGGGCCAUCAGUGAGCCCCAUUCAUUGCUUGCCCCCUGCAUCCUCCCACCCAUCCUCCUGCUGUGGAAGUCCUCCAGGAACUCCUGUCCCAGUAGAGACCCAGGUCUGCAGUGGGUUGGGGCGCCAGUGCAGGCAGUGAGGAUGCAGCUUUGAGCAAAGCAGCAGUGGAAGAUCUUCCAUGAUCCCUGCAGAGCAGAGGGGGAGACACAGCAGGUGACCAAAAGGCCAUGCACCACCGCCUCCAUGGGAAGCGUCUCUCCUUCAGGGCAGUGAGCUGCGGGGUCCUGCCGUGGGACCAGGAAAAUCCAGGUCUCUGGAAAGGAGCGAGUGGGCUCCUGCACAGCAUUUCAUGCCGGGGCAAAUUCCUCCUCCUCCUGCGACCUCACUGAACCCGGCAGACAAGGAGGGGACUUGGGUUCAUGCCUGCACAAGCACCGAAUUACCACACACGCACUCGCCCCCCGUGCAAGCUAUCUGGACGCUUGGUCUCGACAAGAAGCAACUGCAUGUUAUGUCCUGAUUUACUUCUUCAAGUCAGGACUGCCACCUAGCUCAGCAGGAGUUUUAUCUCCUGGGAUGGGGUGAGGCUUCAAGAAACGGAGAUUUUCAGGAGAAAGGAGUGCAUGCGUAGCUCAGUGAUCUCCACACCUACCUCAGCCUAGUCUACCUCUCACGUACCUCCCCUUCCAGUGGGCACCAGGUAAGCUGCCCCGUUCUGUCACAGCUUAGCUUGCUUUCUCUGCCUACCACCAGUUUCUAGAGGCCUCUGGUGGGACACCUUCAUGGUAGGGAAGAACACGAGGGUUGGUCACCUGUGCCCAAACGGCCUCCAGCCUGGGUCGGCACAUGGGGAGGUGGGAAGCUCGACAGCCCCAAGUCCUGCCCAGCACCCCCAUGCUCGUUCCUGUCAGUCCCGUCAUGCAGCAGCCCAUCCAGAUGCACUGCCUGACUUCUGCCAAUGCGCUCCUGAGGUGGAGGAGAAAAAAAACCUGUCUGGAGCAAAACGCAAAGUCUGGAGCACUUGCUCUCUGGUGGGAUUAGGAGCAGGCCCUCAGCCAGCAGGCCUGGCUGGGGCUGGGGGCGUCCUCGGAAGAUCCUGGGGAGGCAGGGAGCCCCCACAGCUCCCCUGCCUCCAGGCACGGCUGAGUCCCCUGCCUGCACGCCUGUUGGCAAGCCGCAGAUUUGCCAUUUGUGCAUCCCCGGUGCUAUUUCCUUUGCGAAUUUGAGUUUCAAUAUGGAGAACAGUGUGGACUCUGAGCCCAUCUGGACUCAGCCACUUGGGAGUAAAAGCAAAUGUACUUUGAGCUCUGAGACCCCAACACGUCAGUACCCAGGCAGGAGAGCACAUGCCACAAGGGACCUGCAGGGCUCUGGCUGGUGCAAUGCCACACCUGUAGGAGAAGGGACCUUUCCUCUGCCAUAUGGUUGAUGAGAAGCUGGGACCAGCCUGAUGGACAACUGGGGCAAGGAGCUGUGCAGUCCAAAUCCUUCCCAAGACAACAGUCAGAUGGCCAUGAGCAGAAACGGAGGAGAAAGGGGGUGUUUCCUGCACUCCUCUUCUAUUUUAAGGAAAAUAUAUGGUACGUUACGUGAUUUAACAUGCUUUACAUACCAAAAAUGAAGUGAGCAUAAAGGAAUCAUCUGUAUGGAGAGGGAAUCUGAUGAAAAAAAAAGGAACCAGUGUGGGGCAAGGGAAUGACAUAAACAGUUAACUUAAACAAGACACAGUUUGGUGCAACUUGGCUCCGCUCGUAGCCAGCACAUGGGAACGCUGGGCAAAGCCAUAUUGCACUAGUUAUAGGCUCAUCUCAUAGACUUAGAGAUGGAAAAGACUUAUUAGGUCAUUGAGUCCAUCCCACCUGCCAGUGAAGGAUUGUUCCCUGCAGAAUUUUCUCUAUUGCUUUGUACAGUCUAAUUUUAAAUGAUCCAAGCGAUGUGGUCUCAGCCACUUCCUUGGGGAGGCCCUUGCACAGAUACGUUUUGUUUAACUCAGCCUUUAAAUGGUUAACCCUUUUCUCCCCAAUUCUCUUCACGUUUUCAUGUUUCAACUGUCUGAAGCACAAAAGGUUUCUUUUUAUGUUUUUCAGUCUAUUGUACUUACAUAGUUAUAGCCACACAGCCAUCACUGCAGCCUGAUCUGAAACAGAGCAUCACAUCUAACUGGCUAAAAACAUUAAUAAUGUAUCACAGGAAAUAAACCAAAAUUGCUUUAAACAGGUGUGCAAACGACCUCCUCAAAGCCACAAAACAUUCAGGACAUUCCAAUACGAAACAGCUAUCAGCAUGGUGUGGAUGCUCAGCCCAUUGGAGUGGGAACACAACUACUCGUGCUUUAGCACAGGGCUUUUUCUUACCCCUUUCCAUUACACAAAAACCACUCGGCAUUGGGAAAUGGCACAAGAGCACCAGCUGAAUGGCCUGACCAAGGAAAUACAGGCACAGCCAGUACACAGCUGGAUCCAUCCCUGCCAGACACCAGCCCAAAGCAGAAGACUAAAAGAAACUGAAGUGCUGUAGAACUUGUGAAGAACAUCAUGGCAGGUGCACCCAGAGUUCCCGCAGCCUUGCCUCUACCUCAUACAAAGUUGUGUUGCGCAGCUUCAUCGUGAAGCCAUCUGCUCUCAGAGAGGAGAAAGCCAACGUCUGACAUACCACGUGCCAUCAAACAGCCUCAGAAGGACAGCAGUGGGCAAAUGAUACCCUGCAUCUGCUCAGCUCACAUUCAUUUCUAGCCACCUAAGGUUUGGCUGCAACAGCUCUUCUAAACCCAAAUACAUAUGUUGGCUUAGAGGCACCAUAGUAAAGUAGCCUAACAAACCGAGGCAAUUGGUUUUAAUAAGAAUCUUGGCUUGUUUAGACAAUGCACUGGAUCUUCAUGUUGGCACCACAAAUGUUUUUUUAGGAAAAUGUAUGCAUCUUUGCAGCUCUCAGCAACUAAAUCCUCCCUGCACUUCAUGGAAAGGGUUUCCUGGCUAUCCGCUUUCUGAUGUAUUCCAAGUUCCUUGCAGCUGAUUGUUGUCUGGGCUGGAAAUGCUUUUAUAUUCGGCUCAGCCAUUUGCCCCCGUUGCGUGCUGUGAGCAGGGUGUGCGGGUGGCACACUGUGCCCUUCCUCCAUCCCGCACCUACAAACGGGGCCGAGGCAUUUCGAUGCUUCCUGAGUCGCGUCGCACAGAUGUGUUUGGAAUAGCUACGGAAGCGGCUGUCUCCUGCUACCCAGCCUUAUUACAGGCAGUAGCAAUGCUCCCAGAGUUCAAAGGCAUUUCAUGCUCACUGAGCGUUUUUCAGCAAGAAAUCUGAGAUUAAAUAAACUCAAAUCCUCUCCGAGGAGAAAGCAGAAGAUGGAGGGAGAGGCGCUGACUCUCCGCUGCACAGCAUGCGUCUUGGUGUACCUUGGAAAACACCCAGGCGAGGUGCUCCUCAAACCCACGCCUGGCCAGGACGCGUCACUGCUGGGGCCAGACCUGUGCCCACUGCACUACCGUGGAUUUGAAUGGGUUUGUGCCAAGGACACCGACCUGCUCAAAACCUGAACGUCACCCUGGAUACUCCUGAGCGCUUGUCCUAGAGUUCUGGGCAAAAUCCCGAGGGGCUUGGAGAGGAUGCAUUGGAUUUACAGCUUUUCUCCUGCUUUCUUCUAUAAAAGGUGAUAGGUUAGGUUGUCACCAGCAGAAAUACUUUGAUUUAGUGAGUACAGGCACAAGACCUCCUCUCUAGAAAGAGUUACUGCUGACCUGCCAACAAGCAGAGGACUGCAUCUUGCUCUUGUGCUAAAGAAACAGUGCCCAGGGCACAUUUCUGGCCAUGGACAAAAAGGUGGCUCCACUCAUUGCUCAGCCAGGAUUCAGAGGGCACAAGAAAUCAAGUUGUUUGAUGUUUUUCCUCUCCCUAACAACACUGGCUCUGUGGGAAAAAGAAAAUACUUGAGUCAUAGAAGUGACUGCAGUGUCAUUCCUGGUGACGGGGAUGUUUACCAAGGCUCAGCUGGUAGAGCACGGCCCUUAGCAGGCUGCAGGCGUUACUUUGCACCCUCCACACCCUCAGUGAGUGCUGUGGGCUCCCUACAAAGCAGCCAACCUCGCACAAGCUGGAGGCAUUUUGCCUCUGUACAUCUGCAAGACUGAGGUCCGGACUUGAGCCCAUUCCCUACGAGCCUGAGGAAGUCUUGUGCUGGGCAUCCUGGAUGUCACCAGGCUCGUGAAGGUGUUGAUGGUCCCACAGAUGCAGAUGAUGUCCAAAAGAAUGGGGCAUGGAGAUCUACACCCACAGCACACUCAGCUACUUAACUCCCAUCGACUUCACUGAGACAAAGACAUUUAAUACCACUGAGGAUCUGGACCCGACGUGGUUUGGAAUAACCUGUUGGAUACCAUUCCUUACCUUCAGGUGACUAAGGACUCCCAAAAUCCAGUCCCAAAUGCCCCCAGACACUUUGGACAAUCAGCAUAUAACUCUUCCCUGGGCUGCCCGGUUAAAGGCCACUGUGAUGAUGCUGGAAAAGCCAGCAAAGGCUUGACCGUGAAAAAGCCAUCAGGCUCAUAAGUUGGGAAUGAUGCAAUGGCAAUUAGCACAUCUUCUCUGCUGUAGACAAUACGCUGCGAGCCCAGGAUAGAUCUAAAAGCCUGAGAGGCAGGCAGACAAGAGUGUUAUGUCCUCUGUCUGAGAGCCGAAUCCCAGGGAGGGUGGAAAUAGCAAUGUAGGACAGCUACAAGCCUGGAAGGAGACAAAAGCCUGGAUUUGGAACAGCUUGACAAUGAGACGGCAUAGAUGGUUGGGGUUUAAGCUCCAAGGCAUGCUGCAGGACCUCAGUCCACUGGGAGACAAGGCUGGAACAUGUUCUCCAUGCUCAGACCCACAUUAUAGACAUGGGCUGAAUAUUCCACACUGGGAUGUGGGAGAGAAUCAGAAAGAUUCUGAGCCAAUUUUGAAGCAGGAUGGAUAACUACAGCUGGUGCACGUGUGGGAGAAACCUGUUCCUGAAAAUAGCUUACAGCCUUCAGAUCAGACACACGAUGCACGGGCCACCCCGGGGCCCAGUGGUGGCAGCGGAAAGGCUCCCUCUGACUUUAGACGGACUUUAAUCAGAAAACCCAGCAGCCCAGGAGAGUUCACUCCAAGACCAGGGAGCCAGUACUGCUUCUUCUGAGCUUUCCAUCUGCUUUGGGACAUGCAGGUGCAAUUGAAACAAACGAUAAAUCAAAACUCACAACACAGGCUGCAAGGAAGAUCUAAAGGCAUUGCACAAGUUCGUGGCGAAAUGCCUCACCGACAUCGCACUGUCAGGAUGGCCACAGAGCAGCAACAGGCUGGGGCUGCAGGGGUACAGAGAUGAUCUUUGGGACCCAGGGUGGGGACAUCCUCGCUGCCCCUUCUGCCAAGGUCCCUUGUCCAGCAGCUCCCACUGGCAGAACAUGAGCUCACGGUACUGAUCUGCUGCCUCUGGAGGAGCUUAUGGGGAAGGCACAGAGUGCUGCUGAAGUCACAGCAGAAAUGGGAAGAUAUCCUGUGUUAAAUUAUGUUUUUUUUUUUUUUUUUUUUUUUUUUUUUUAAUGUUCAUACACAGAUGCCUUAUUUUGUAGGUCUACAACACACUGCUGUGCAUCAAACGUCUCCCCUUUUGUCCAAAAGGGGUUUGCCCUCCCACCUCUAGCCUUCAGUUUGCAUGAAGGGGCAACCAUCCAACAUGCUCCAAGCACAUUGUCAUAGAAAGGAAAAGAGAAAGAACAGAUAGCAGUAAACCAGGUGACGAAACACUUAUUUAUUGAGAGCUUCCAGAGGGUAGAUCAGGGGAAGCAAAGCAAUAGGACUUCACUGGAGAACAGAGCAAGGCUUUGUAGGAUUUCCCUCCCUGAGAUGUAGGUUAUCUGCAGGCAGCUAGCAUUUAACUAGAACACCAUUGUUCAUUGUCAAUGCCAAAAUCAUAAUAGAAGACAAAUACAGCCCUCACAGGGACCUCCAUGAGCUGUCCCUUGUCCCACCAGCACAGUGAAGGCAGCAGCCAGGCUGCACACUGGCAUGCAGCAGUGUCCACCUCCCAGUCCCAAUGAACCAAGCUGGGUUCCAUCGAUGAAAGGAGGCAUCCCAAAGCUUCAGCACAAAUACACCCCUUCCCUCGGGUCACAGCAUUACUCCUCAUUAGGGUUCUACAUCAAAUAUGGCUUGAAUAAUUUCAGAGUUGUAUCCUUCCUUCUGUGUGCAUACAGAAACCUUAUUUACUCCCAUAAACCUAUCACUCACUUCUUCCAACUGUUGGACUCCUAAGACAAAUCCUCCUGUCCUGUAACAGCCCUAAUGCACAACAGUUGAGGAAAUCAUGGUGUCAGGCAUUAUCCUGCAUCUGUCACACUGUUUUGGUGCCGGCUGGGUCAGCGUUACAGUGUAUGUGGCCACUGCAGCUCCUCAGGCUGCGCCGCGCUGGGCUCGGCACAUAGACAAAGCAGCACUUCAGUACAUCUUCAAAAACAGGGCACACAUUUUUCUAACUGACAGUUCCUUUCAAGUGUUAAAAGGAUAUUAUUUUCUAGCACUUCAAGUACAUACUUUAACUAGUUUAAAAGGAAUUACUGGAAAUGAGGCAACUGUGGACUUCAUAAUUUUUUUUUUGUCUUUCUCUGAAGCGGACAACAGAACAAUGUGGACUUUCAGACUUACCAGACAGUUGAGAUACGUGUGCCAUGGGUCUAUGUGAGAGCCAGUCUGAAGAGAUUAAAUGGCAAUUUGAACCAGCAGCUCCCCAGAACUGAUGUUCUCCCUUGGCAGAGGUCCCUCCAGCAGAAGACAAGAGUGCAUGUUCCAGUACAUGCAUUCCAGUGAACAACUCUUCUUGCCAUCUUCCUCCUCCUUCUGCAUCUUUCAUCUGCUUGAAAUUUAGAGGACGAUUUAGCAGACCUGAAUUUGGCUCCUAAUGAAGGCAUUCUGACUUGUCAAUCUCUCCCCUGGCUGUUGCAAGAAGCCUUGAUAAUAACUUGGGUUGUAUCCACCCUUAGAAGCCAGUGCCUAAUGCUAGGCCAUCUGGACACCCACAAAGUGCCAAACACUGUCGUUCGUAUUUAGUCCAGCUUCCUGCUCAAGUCAAAUGGCAUUUUGAUGACUGACUGCUAAACUGCUCAGGAUUUGACCCUCGUGUGUUUGUCUCGCUGUCUCCAGCAGUGACGAUGGCCCGCUCGUCAGCUGUUUACUCAGUUUGCAAUAGAGCCAGCUGAAAAAUUUUCAACAGAGCAAUUUCUCAUCCAGUACAGUCUAUUCAAAAUCAAAAUAUUUCUCGGCAGUUUGUCAAUUUCAAUGAAAUUUUACAACAGGAGAAUGUCAAAACAUGGUGUUUCAUCACCGCCACAGUGGUUCUUUUCAAUGGCAUUGACGUGUUCCAUUUCAUUAUGGUCUUUUUGCUUCCAUGGAUGCACAUAUUUGAAUAUUAACACAAAUGCUAUACAGAUUUUA